rnacentral:rRNA from 1 species
UACGUAGGCAGCGAGCGUUGUUCGGAGUUACUGGGCGUAAAGGGUGUGUAGGCGGUUGUUUAAGUUUGGUGCGAAAUCUCCCGGCUCAACUGGGAGGGUGCGCCGAAUACUGAAUGACUAGAGUGCGGGAGAGGAAAGUGGAAUUCCUGGUGUAGCGGUGAAAUGCGUAGAUAUCGGAAGGAACAUCAGUGGCGAAAGCGGCUUCCUGGUCCAGCACCGACGUUCAGGCACGAAAGCGUGGGGAGCAAACAGG